rnacentral:tRNA from 1 species
GCCGGAGUGGUGGAAUGGUAGACACGCACGACUCAAAAUCGUGUGGGGCAACCCGUGGGAGUUCAAGUCUCCCCUCCGGCACCA